UAUGAAGAACGCAGCGAAAUGCGAUAAGUAGUGUGAAUUGCAGAAUUCAGUGAAUCAUCGAAUCUUUGAACGCACAUUGCGCCCCUUGGUAUCCCGAGGGGCAUGCCUGUUCGAGCGUCAUUUCACCACUCAAGCCUGGCUUGGUGUUGGGCGACGUCCCCUUUGGGGACGCGCCUCGAAACGCUCGGCGGCGUGGCACCGGCUUUAAGCGUAGCAGAAUCUUUCGCUUUGGAAGUCGGGGCCCCGUCUGCCAGAAGACCUACUCGCAAGGUUGACCUCGGAUCAGGCAGGGAUACCCGCUGAACUUAAGCAUAUCAAUAAGCGGAGGA
rnacentral:misc_RNA from 1 species